GCUGGGCAUGGUGGCGUGCACCUGUAAUCCCAGCUACUUGGGAGGCUGAGGCAGAAGAAUCCCUUGAACCUGGGAGGUGGAGAUUGCAGUGAGCUGAGAUCGCGCCACUGCAGUCCAGCCUGGGUGACAAAGCGAGACUCUGUCUCAAAAAAAAAAAAAAAAAAAAAAAGUGUAAUAAAAUACACAUAGCAUAAAAUGUAUCAUUUUAACCCCGUCUCCCAGGCUGGAGUGCAGUGGCGUGAUCUCAGCUCACUGCAAUCUCCACCUCCCAGGUUCAAGGGAUUCUCCUGCCUCA
rnacentral:SRP_RNA from 1 species